rnacentral:rRNA from 1 species
UACGGGAGGCAGCAGUGGGGAAUAUUGCACAAUGGGCGAAAGCCUGAUCCAGCAACGCCGCGUGAGGGAUGACGGCCUUCGGGUUGUAAACCUCUUUCAGUACCGAAGAAGCGCAAGUACCGUAGCC